GACGAACGCUGGCGGCGUGCUUAACACAUGCAAGUCGAACGGUAAGGCCCUUUCGGGGGUACACGAGUGGCGAACGGGUGAGUAACACGUGAGGAACCUGCCCUUGACUCUGGGAUAACAGUGGGAAACUUCUGCUAAUACCGGAUAUUCAGAUUCUGCCGCAUGGUGGGGUUUGGAAAGCUUUUGUGGUCAAGGAUGGUCUCGCGGCCUAUCAGCUUGUUGGUGAGGUAAUGGCUCACCAAGGCGUCGACGGGUAGCCGGCCUGAGAGGGCGACCGGCCACAUUGGGACUGAGAUACGGCCCAGACUCCUACGGGAGGCAGCAGUGGGGAAUAUUGCACAAUGGGCGGAAGCCUGAUGCAGCAACGCCGCGUGCGGGAUGACGGCCUCGGUUGUAACGACUUCAGUAGGACGAAGCGCAAGUGACGGUACCGUACAGAAGAAGACACCGGCGAACUAACGUGCCAGCAGCCGCGGUAACGUGCUACGUAGA
rnacentral:rRNA from 1 species